rnacentral:rRNA from 1 species
GACAUAGGUGGCAAACGUUAUCCGGAUUUAUUGGGCGUAAAGGAUGCGUAGAUGGUGGAAUAAGUUAUUGGUCAAAGUCAAGCUCAACUUGGCAGAAGCUGAUAAUACUAUUCUACUGGAGGACAGAAGAGGUUGGCGGAAUUCUGUGUGGAGCGGUGAAAUGCGUUGAUCUACAGAGGAACACCAAAAAAAGGCGAAAGCAGCCAACUAUUCUGCUCCUGACAUUGAGGCAUGAAAGCGUGGGGAGCAAACCGG